CGGUAGUAGACGAUUUGACCCAGUCCCCAGCUGGGCACGGUACCUCGCACUGCUGGUUAAACCAUGCUUGCAGUCACUAGGAUGAGGGAACCUUCACGCAAACUGCACGUACUGUAAAGGAGGCUAGUAACGUGAUUUAUUGUGAAAAGAUUUACAUUUGAGGUUGCACUGGAGAAAUUACAAUUGUAGCAACUGCUAUAUAUGCUCUCUCAGCAUCUGUGAAUGAUACUAAAUGAUUUACUUCAACACAAGAUCUUAAGACUUAUCACAACAUAUUGACUACUACAUUCACUACCCCGGCAGCCUGUAAAGGCAUAUUUACUUUGCUAAUUGAAAUAAUUUCAUAGGUGCUAUUCAUCUGACGUAUUGCAUGUGCAUUAUCAAUACUGUAUUGUGUAUUGCAUUAUUGUGUUGCAUAUUGUAUAUACAGUACUGUAUUGCGUGUGCAUUAUCAUUACCAUCAUUAUGUAACACAGUGGAACCUCGAGUGACGAGCGACUCCAGUUACGAGCAUUUCGAGUAAUGAGCUAGUCACUUGAAGAAAAUUUGUCUCGAUUAACGAGCAAACCACAUGGUGCUUCCUAGCAUUCCCACUGGUUCUCGGAUGCCUCCGACGACAGUGUUAUUGUUGUUUCGCAAGACAAGCAUCUCACAUGAUGAGCUUGGUGCCGGAACGGAUUAAAUUUGUUAAGCGAGGCGUCACUGUACUUCACUGGCAGACUGAAGUUCACCCCAUAUGAAGCAAAUUUAUCAGAAGGCAUUUAUUGAAACCAUGUAACAAUGUUAAAUUUCUUCCACCUCAGUUUCAGUAAUUUGUAGUAUACAGUAUAUAUACUCUUAAGUAUUAUUGUUUAAUGAUAUUAUUCUCGUUUAAUUCAUUUUGUGCUGUACGAGUGUCAAUUCCUUGCAAAAGUAUGUUAUGUUGUUAUUAUUAGAAACCUAUGCAGUACAUUAUAAAGUCAUUCAAACAUUAAUUCAAGCUUAAAUUUUGUUUAAAAAUAUUUAAUUUAUUCAAAAGAAAGCUCAUAGUAUAAACUUCUAACAUCUUCAUUCAGUGUUCAUAAUUCUUACAAAAACCAUAAUCCUGCAGAAAUAGAGUACAGUAUAUUCAAGGUUUGUGUUUUAAGUACUGUACUUCUCAUACAAAUGUUUAUUAGUAACAGUGUACUGGGUAUACUAAAUAUAAUUGAUGUCAGUGUAA